rnacentral:tRNA from 1 species
GCGGCUGUAGCUCAGCUGGAUAGAGCACCAGACUACGAAUCUGGGGGUCGCAGGUUCGAGUCCUGCCAGCCGCGCCA